rnacentral:rRNA from 1 species
GACAGAGGGUGCAAACGUUGUUCGGAAUUACUGGGCGUAAAGCGCGCGUAGGCGGACCUGCAAGUCGGGGGUGAAAGCCCGAGGCUCAACCUCGGAACUGCCUUCGAUACUGCGGGUCUCGAGUCCGGGAGAGGUGAGUGGAAUUCCUAGUGUAGAGGUGAAAUUCGUAGAUAUUAGGAAGAACACCAGUGGCGAAGGCGGCGAUCUGGGAAGAUACUGACGCUGAGGUGCGAAAGCGUGGGGAGCAAACAGG